rnacentral:rRNA from 1 species
AGACAACUAGGAGGUUGGCUCAGAAGCAGCCAUCCUUUAAAGAGUGCGUAACAGCUCACUAGUCGAAUGACUCUGCGCCGAUAAUUUACCGGGGCUAAGCAUACUACCGAAGCUAUGGAUCCCAAGGGAUGGUAGGGGAGCGUUCCAUGAACGGAGAAGUACGACCGAAAGGACGUGUGGAGAUCAUGGAAGAGAGAAUGCCGGUGUGAGUAGCGGAACGUGGGUGAGAAUCCCACGCACCGAAAACCCAAGGUUUCCAGAGGAAGGUUCGUCCGCUCUGGGUAAGUCGGGACCUAAGGCGAGGCCGAAAGGCGUAGUCGAUGGACAACAGGUAGAGAUUCCUGUACCCGUAUAUAUGUGAAGGAAUGACGGAGAGAGGAAGCUGCAGCCAGCGGCUGGAAGAGCUGGUGCAAGCGAGAUAUCGGGAUGGCAGGCAAAUCCACCAUCCGAAACGAGAAGGCGUGAAGCGUACGGAAAGCUACGGCGAGUACGGAAGGCAGUGGAGGAACUUCCAAGAAAAGUUUCUAACGUUAAGUAUAUAUGGCCCGUACCGAAAAUGGACACACAUGGGUGAGGAGAGAAUCCUAAGGUGAGCGAGAGAACUAUAGCUAAGGAACUCUGCAAAAUGACUCCGUAACUUAGGGAGAAGGAGUGCUCAUAGAGAUAUGAGCCGCAGUGAAACGGCCCAAGCGACUGUUUACCAAAAACACAGCUCUCUGCUAAGCCGCAAGGCGAAGUAUAGGGGGUGACGCCUGCCCGGUGCUGGAAGGUUAAGGGGAGGGGUUAACGCAAGUGAAGCCCUGAACUGAAGCCCCAGUAAACGGCGGCCGUAACUAUAACGGUCCUAAGGUAGCGAAAUUCCUUGUCAGGUAAGUUCUGACCCGCACGAAAGGCGUAACGAUUUGGGCGCUGUCUCAGCUGUAGACUCGGUGAAGUCUUAGUACCUGUGAAGAUGCAGGUUACCCGCGACUAGACGGAAAGACCCCAUGGAGCUUCACUGCAGGUUGAUAUUGGGAUUUGAUGCAGCAUGUACAGGAUAGGUAGGAGGCAAAGAGAUGGAUACGCCAGUAUUCAAGGAGCCGCUGUUGGGAUACUACCCCUGUUGUAUUGGAUUUCUAACCGGACGACGUAGAGCCGUUGACGGGACAGUGUCAGUCGGGCAGUUUGACUGGGGCGGUCGCCUCCCAAAGAGUAACGGAGGCGCCCAAAGAUACCCUCAGCUUGGAUGGAAACCAAGCGCAGAGUGCAAAGGCAAAAGGGUGUUUGACUGCGAGACCUACAAGUCGAGCAGGGACGAAAGUCGGGCUUAGUGAUCCGGCGGUGCUGAAUGGAAAGGCCGUCGCUCAACGGAUAAAAGCUACCCUGGGGAUAACAGGCUGAUCUCCCCCAAGAGUUCACAUCGACGGGGAGGUUUGGCACCUCGAUGUCGGCUCAUCGCAUCCUGGAGCUGAAGUCGGUUCCAAGGGUUGGGCUGUUCGCCCAUUAAAGCGGUACGCGAGCUGGGUUCAGAACGUCGUGAGACAGUUCGGUCCCUAUCUGUCGUGGGCGCAGGAAAUUUGAGAAGAGCUGUCCUCAGUACGAGAGGACCGGGAUGGACGCAUCAAUGGUGGACCAGUUGUCACGCCAGUGGCAUAGCUGGGUAGCUAAAUGCGGAAGGGAUAAACGCUGAAGGCAUCUAAGUGUGAAACCCACUUCAAGAUGAGAUUUCCCAUUGC